UACGUAGGGGCCUAGCGUUGUCCGGAAUUACUGGGCGUAAAGGGCGAGUAGGUGGCCAUCUAAGUCAGACGUGAAAUCCCCCGGCUUAACCUGGGAACUGCGUCUGAUACUGGACGGCUUGAGUAUGGGAGAGGAACGUAGAAUUCCAGGUGUAGCGGUGAAAUGCGUAGAGAUGUGGAGGAACACCAAUGGCGAAGGCAGCCUUCUGGGCCAACACUGACGCUCAUGCACGAAAGCGUGGGGAGCAAACAGG
rnacentral:rRNA from 1 species